AGACUGUGAUUAGGGUGGAGGUCCUGCAGUCACUGGGGUCUCAUAAGUCAUGAGAGUCAUGCUGCUCUCUCAAACCUACAUAGCUACAAGUAGUGGGUAUGUGCCUUGCACACGCCACUUAACCUCUCCCAGCCUUGGAGGUCUCUUCCGCCUAAAGUAGGAAAUCUUUUCUUGGCACUAAAAGAAAGACACAAUGGCUGGGCACGGUGGCUCAUGCCUGUAAUCCCAGCACUUUGGGAGGCCAAGGCAGGUGGAUCACGAAGUCAGGAGUUCAAGACCAGCGAGACUCUGUCUCAAAGAAAAAAAAAAAAGGAAAAUACUAUUUAUUACCAAGACUAUGAGGACAACACCUUGUGGCCAGGAAAGGUGCAAUCCAUCAUUGUUUUCUAGUUGGUUGUUAAGAUUUCUGUGAUGAAUACAACUCAACAUCAGAUCUCUGCCAUAUUGUGUGUCAGGCACACAGGGCAAGAAAUUGAAGCUGCCAGCCAACAGCCAGAGAGAAACCAAGGCCUGCCAACAACUAGCUACCUUAGCAAGAAAAUCCAAGAAAAUCAAUUUGCAUCUAAAAGCGCCUUCACGGAGUUGGCCUGGUUUUGUGGCAGGC